UAAACAACUUGUAAAGGUUGGUUGGUGAGCCCGGAAAACCAACGGAGUAGGUUGAUUGGUGAACCCGGAAAACCAAUUGUAAAGGUUCGUUGGUGAGCCCGUAAAACCAACAAAGGUUUUUGGUGAACUCGGAAAACCAAAGUGUAAAGGUUCGUUGGUGAGCCCGUAAAACCAACAAAGGUUUUUGGAUUGUGAGCCCGGAAAACAAUCCAACUGUAAUCCGCGGAAUUAUAGUGAAUUCCCAAGGGGUCGCUUGGGGAGUGGACGUAGGUGCUAAGGAGAGCACCGAACCA
rnacentral:lncRNA from 1 species